rnacentral:rRNA from 1 species
UACGUAGGGGGCAAGCGUUGUCCGGAUUUAUUGGGCGUAAAGAGCGUGUAGGCGGCCAGGUAGGUCGGUUGUGAAAACUCGAGGCUUAACCUCGAGCUGUCGGCGGAAACCAUCUGGCUAGAGUCCGGAAGAGGAGAAUGGAAUUCCCGGUGUAGCGGUGAAAUGCGCAGAUAUCGGGAAGAACACCCGUGGCGAAGGCGGGUUC